rnacentral:rRNA from 1 species
CACGUAGGGUGCAAGCGUUGUCCGGAUUUAUUGGGCGUAAAGGGCCCGUAGGCGGUUUGAUAAGUCGGGUGUGAAAACUCCAGGCUCAACCUGGAGACGCCACUCGAUACUGUCAUGACUUGAGUCUGGUAGGGGAGUGCGGAAUUCCUGGUGUAGCGGUGAAAUGCAUAGAUAUCAGGAGGAACACCGGUGGCGAAGGCGGCACUCUGGGCCAGUACUGACGCUGAUGGGCGAAAGCGUGGGGAGCAAACAGG